rnacentral:rRNA from 1 species
CACUCCUGCGGGAGGCAGCAGUGGGGAAUUUUGGACAAUGGGCGAAAGCCUGAUCCAGCAAUGCCGCGUGAGUGAAGAAGGCCUUCGGGUUGUAAAGCUCUUUUGUCAGGGAAGAAACGGUGAGAGCUAAUAUCUCUUGCUAAUGACGGUACCUGAAGAAUAAGCACCGGCUAACUACGUGCCAGCAGCCGCGGUAAUACGUAGGGUGCAAGCGUUAAUCGGAAUUACUGGGCGUAAAGCGUGCGCAGGCGGGUUUGUAAGUCUGAUGUGAAAUCCCCGGGCUCAACCUGGGAAUUGCAUUGGAGACUGCAAGGCUAGAAUCUGGCAGAGGGGGGUAGAAUUCCACGUGUAGCAGUGAAAUGCGUAGAUAUGUGGAGGAACACCGAUGGCGAAGGCAGCCCCCUGGGUCAAGAUUGACGCUCAUGCACGAAAGCGUGGGGAGCAAACAGGAUUAGAAACCCUAGUAGUCCCAUGA